rnacentral:pre_miRNA from 1 species
ACUAAGCACAGCUUUGCACUAUUCAUCUCUAAUGUUUGAUUGUUUGUCUUAUUUAAAACUUUUUAUAAUUAAUAUUUUUAUUAUCAUUAGAUAUAAAAUAUAAAUAGUAGGUUAUGUGUGACUUUUUUUUAAAUUUUUUAAAUAAGAUGGACGGUCAAACGUUAGACAUAUUAAUAAUAGUUGCCUUUAUU